rnacentral:lncRNA from 1 species
GUUCAGCUAACCUAAACCUAUUAUCCACCAAAAUUAUCUCCAAAAUUCAAAACCAACAUGGCUGGACUUAAUGUCUUUUCUUUUUCUGCACCUCAUGACUUUCGGAGCCAUGUGCCUUGGAGUAAAUGGAGGAGUAAUGNNNNNNNNNNNNNNNNNNNNAGACAAUUAGUUUUAGUUGGUUCAGCUAACCUAAACCUAUUAUCCACCAAAAUUAUCUCCAAAAUUCAAAACCAACAUGGCUGGACUUAAUGUCUUUUCUUUUUCUGCACCUCAUGACUUUCGGAGCAUGUGCCUUGGAGUAAAUGGAGGAGUAAUGGGCUGAAGUUAAUGCCUCCUCUUCUCUUUCAUAUUUUGAUUUUUUAUAGUCAGUGUUUUGGAGAAAAUGAAAAGACAAGAGACAAGCUGAUUUUUAAUGUAGUGCUGUUUUAGAAAAAUGAAGAGACAAGUUGAUUUUUAAUGCAGUGCUAUCUUGAAAAAUGAAGGGACAAUAGAAAUCAAUAUGAGGC